CCUACGGGUGGCAGCAGUGGGGAAUAUUGGGCAAUGGGCGCAAGCCUGACCCAGCAACGCCGCGUGAAGGAAGACGGCUUUAGGGUUGUUAAAUUCUUUUCUCAGGGACGAAGCAAGUGACGGUACCUGAGGAAUAAGCCAAGGCUAACUACGUGCCAGCGGCCGCGGGAUUACGUAGGCGGCAAGCGUGAUCCGGAUUUACUGGGUGUAAGGGGUGUGUGGGCGGGGAGGCAGGUCAGAUGUGAAAACCACGGGCUCAACCUGUGGCCUGCAGUUGAAACUGUGUUUCUUGAGUACUGGAGAGGCAGACGGAAUUCCUGGUGUAGCGGUGAAAUGCGUAGAUAUUAGGAGGAACACCAGUUGCGAAGGCGGUCUGCUGGACAGCAACUGACGCUGAUGCGCGAAAGUGUGGGGAGCAAACAGGAUUAGAUACCCGGGUAGUC
rnacentral:rRNA from 1 species